CCGAGGGGCGGCGGCGCCGAGCUCUGCGGCUCCCGGGGUCGGGCCGUCGUCCCCCGGCCGGCGUUUCCUAGUCUCAGUGACGCGACUCCGAUGGACCGGCCCGGGGACGGCGAGCGGCCGCCGCGGCAGCGGCCCUGGGGGCGGCUCCUGCGCCUGGGCGCCGAGGAGGGUGAGCCGCAUGUCCUCCUGUGGAAGCGGGAGUGGACGCUCGGGCGGAGGCGAGGCUGUGACCUCUCCUUCCCCAGCAAUAAACUUGUGUCUGGAGAUCACUGUAAAAUUUUAGUGGAUGAAAAGUCUGGCCAGGUGAUGCUGGAAGAUACCAGUACCAAUGGAACAGUAAUCAAUAAGCUGAAGGUUGUUAAAAAACAGACUUGUCCUCUACAGUCUGGGGAUGUCAUCUAUUUAGUGUACAGGAAGAAUGAGCCGGAACACAAUGUGGCAUACCUCUAUGAAUCUUUAAAUGAGCAAAGCAUUACUCAAGAAUCUUUUGAAGCCAAUAAAGAAAAUGUGUUCCAUGUGACCAAAGAUACCUCAGCUCCGGGUUUGGGUGAUGACUCCCAGGUAAUACCGUUGUUGCCUGCCGCUCAGGCCUGCACAGAGGAACCACAGCCAUCGACGUCAACCUCAGACCUCUUUCCCAUGGCCUCUACCUCUUCCACAGAGCUGACUUCCACAGGAUCUGGGGAUGUAGGUAUCUCCCCCAAAGUAUAUGGCCCAGCUUUGGCCAGUGAUGAACUCUCCAACCUUGUUCCAGCUCUCCCGAACAGAGAGGGACCACCUUUUCCUUUGUUGGAACCCCAGGACCAGGACAAUUUGGAGCCUGUUAAAAAGAAGAUAAAAGGAGAUGGGGAGCUCGAAUUGAACCUUCAAUUAUUGGUUGCAGAUCAGUGUAGAAAACCGGAAACCAUCCAUGAGGAUAUCAGAAUUGGCUCUGUGAAGCCUGACAAGAUGGAGGAGACACUAACCUGCAUCAUCUGCCAAGACCUGCUGCAUGACUGUGUGAGUUUGCAGCCCUGCAUGCACACAUUCUGUGCAGCUUGCUACUCUGGCUGGAUGGAACGCUCAUCUCUGUGCCCCACUUGUCGCUGUCCAGUGGAACGAAUCUGUAAAAACCACAUCCUGAACAACCUCGUGGAAGCUUACCUUAUCCAGCACCCAGAUAAGAGUCGCAGUGAAGAAGAUAUGAGAAGUAUGGACGCUAGGAAUAAAAUCACUCAAGACAUGCUUCAGCCCAAAGUCAGGAGGUCUUUCUCUGAUGAAGAAGGAAGUUCAGAAGACCUGCUAGAGCUGUCGGAUGUUGACAGUGAAUCCUCAGACAUUAGUCAGCCAUAUAUUGUGUGCAGACAGUGUCCUGAAUACAGAAGACAAGCUGUGCAGCCCCUUCCCUGCCCAGCACUGGAUAGUGACCUGAGGUCCCCUCAAGACCUUGGAGGUGACAUACCAUCAACUUCUUCUACCACCUUCCCAACAGCAGCCCAGGAUUAUGUGUGCCCUCUGCAAGGAAGCCAUGCCAUAUGCACCUGCUGCUUCCAGCCCAUGCCAGACCGGAGAGCUGAGCGCGAGCAGAACCCCCAUGUUGCCCCUCAGCACUGUACAGUGUGCCUGCAGCCCUUCUGUCACCUAUACUGGGGUUGUAGCCGUAGUGGCUGUUUCGGCUGCCUUGCUCCCUUCUGUGAGCUCAACCUGGGGGACAAGUGUCUGGAUGGAGUACUGAACAACAACAACUACGAGUCAGACAUUCUGAAGAAUUACCUUGUGACCAGGGGUCUGACUUGGAAAAACAUGCUGACAGAGUGUCUCAUGGCUCUUCAGCGUGGAGUGUUUCUACUGUCUGAUUACAGAAUUACUGGAAACACUGUGUUAUGUUACUGCUGUGGUCUACGCAGCUUCCGAGAGUUGACCUAUCAGUACCGACAGAACAUUCCUGCUUCUGAGCUGCCAGUGGCUGUGACAUCCCGUCCUGACUGCUAUUGGGGCCGUAACUGCCGCACUCAGGUGAAAGCUCACCAUGCAAUGUGAGUCAGGAUGAGGGAUAUAGUCGGGUACAGGUCUUUGAGGUUCAGGAAGGCAAUGACAGAAAUGAACUCUAUUUAAAUGUGUACUAAUUGGGAAGCUGGGGCAUAGCUCAGUGGUAGAGACCUUGAUAUUAAUUUGAGACUUUGGUUAUAUGGUAAUAAUCAUAUACUUCUAUAAAGUCACCCGAUAUAUAAAACAGCAUCUUCAUGUAGAAAUUCUCAUUUCCUGAGGUGUUUGUAUAUAAAUGUCCACCUUCCACCUCUGUGUCUUUAUCUCUGGAGUCAUUUUAUCGCAGAUCUGAUAGCUUCUGGAACAUACUGGAUAUACAUUUGAGGGUUAGCUCUUUCUAAGUCAGUGGCUGUGGUUGCUUAGCAUAUCCAUCCUAUGCUACCAGCCCCAUUCACACAUUCACGUAAUGCUGUGACAACUGGGCUUCCCAGUAUGAGUGUAUUUGAGAGUAAUAUAACUUGGCAACUCCCUACCACCACUAUGGUGUCUCUGGUGUGGUCUUUCUUUUUUUAUUUGUUUAAUUAUGUGGUACAGAGGAAUCAAACCCAGGGCCUCAUGCAUGCCAGGCAAGCAUUCUAUCACUAAGCCCAUUCCCAGUCCUUUGAUGCGGUCUUUUAGUGAUGUUUAUAGCAAUGUCUGUGUUGCCUUGUGAGGUUGGAGCUUAGUGGUUAUCUUUGCCCUGUUUUCAAACAGCCAAGUGACAUGGCCACUAUUAAUCCCUGGCCAAAUAGAUCCAUUGGUUCAAAUUAAGGAAAUUCAAUCACAUCUGUGAACAGACAAGGUUCAAGAACUGAGCAUCAGGGGAGACAUGAAGACAACUGUGGAGCACUGAAGACAGUGAUACCAUGUGUAAACACUUUAAGGGCAUUUCUGUAGUUUCCCCUAAGUAGUGCUGGGGUAUCUGGCCAAGACCCUAUGAUGUGAUUUUUUUCUUUUGUGGAUUUUACCCCUAGGUGAUACUCCCUUGGGUGGCCUGGGAGGCCUAGAGGCCACAGGCAUUUUGGUGAGUGCAGGAGGCAGAGAACUUCCUGCCUGCCAGCUGUCCCCUCCUGCAGGGACAAUGACAGUGCAGGUUUGUGCUUUCAUACCUUUUCCACAACUACAGUUGAAUUGGGAAUCUCUUUGAGGAAAAGUUUGAUGGAAGAAAGGUGGAGGUUUAUCAGAAGCAUACUAUUUAAGCAAAGGGAGCUUAAGUUUACAGCCUAUAUGGUGUACAGAUUAUUCUGCUGUUGGGAAAUCUCAGCCUUUUAUAUAUUUUUUAUUUUAAUAGGUUUGGUGCUUCUAAUAAGAUUUAAGUAUCACAAACUGUAGCACAAAUAAUAUAAUUUAUAAUUUACAAAUUGACUGUAAUUGGUGAUAGUAUAAUAUUUGAAAGAAUAUGUUUUUAUUAAAAAAAAAUCAGUUGUCCAAAACUGCUAACCCUGGAUGUGGAUGUCAAGUUAGCAGCUUCUUGCUGAGUGUGUGAAUGGAGUUUUCAGUUCCCUAGCACAGGACUGGCCAUGGUCCCUGCUCCCAGUGGAGUAGCCCCCCUGGUGAGACCCCCACAAAGCUCUUGAUGGGGGUUGCGGGAGGCUUUGCCCCCGUGCCCUUUCUUGCUACAUUAGGUUUGCCAUGUCAUCUGGAAUAAUACUUGAAAUUUUGUUUUUUGUUAAAAACGAAAGGGGUUCUUUUUAUCUUUCCUUGAAAUUACCUGUUAUGUUUGUAAACUGGUAACUUUUUUGCUUCUUCUCAGGAAUACAAUUUUCAACUGUUGUCUUGCUCUUGAUAGUUUUACUGAGAGGCAGCACUCUGUAUUUGUGGGAGAAACUUCUCUUUUUUGAUUCUAAUAAACAAGCUGUGUUUGUUUUUC